UUGGAAAUUGGUGAAGGAAAUACAGAAAAGAUUUCAGAGUUCCAGGGAGGAACCAAGUCCAUGACUGCCAUAACGCCAGUGGAUAGCCCAAUCACUGAGCUACUAGAAUUCCUGUUAUUAACCUAGAUCACUUGACAGUCAAUUAACUUACUAGGGCACCAGGAGUUCUUGUAGCUCAGUGGUUAGAGCUUCAGACCAGCAUUAUGUUGCAAAGCAACCGUCAUCUACAACAUUGAUUUUCUGAGAUCUAGACUUCUUUUCCCUGUACUAUUCAUAAGAUAUUUCUUCAUUAACAUCUAAGGUCAGCAUUUACUGUCAUUUUUCAAAAUACAUUCAGUUGCUCCCAGGAAUCUCUGUACAACUCAUUAGUGGAGCAAAUACAGAGCUAGCACAAUCAGAAUGUCACAGGCUUGACACCAAGUUGGGAGAUCAAAAAUCCAUUUUUUCAUAA